rnacentral:lncRNA from 1 species
GGCUAAUAUUUCAUGAAUGUUCAGGACUAUAGGCAAAACGCAGUUAUUCGCUAAAAUAUUCGUUCCAUUGCUGCGGUGUAUCAUAUAUACACAUUUAGGGAGGGGGGGGGGGGGGGGGGGGCAAUGAAUAUAACCAGAGGAGAGGCGAUGAUACAAAAGUUAUUAAACGAGCACCAGCAUAGGAUAUGGCAAAGUAUGAAGAUCAUCUUUUUUAUUCCUUUUCAUUUUAUUAUUUUGAGCGUUGCAAAUUUUGAAUCAAGGAAGUAUUUGUGUUUUAAUUUUUCUUAUUUUUCUGUAAGGGAAGAAGACAAUGUAUUUGCUUUGACAUUUUCUGGGUUUAAACAGUGCAACAUUGUAAUAUUGAAGAGAAAGGGAGGGGUCGGUUUUCAGUCUUUAAGGGGCAUUUUAUUCGUCUGACUACUAGACAAAAUGCUAGGUGUAUUUAGGAUAUUUUGUAGUGUUAUCUCCUCCGACCUGGUGGUAUCAUAUUUUAACCUAUCGUACGUCCCGAAAUUCUAAAAAUUUCUCAAGAAAAGUCCAAUUUAAUAAGUGUCGUUGCAUGUAGGAUAAUUGUCCGAAAUUCCACGACUAUUAUUUAAAUAUGUCAAAAUAAAG